rnacentral:rRNA from 1 species
UAGUACUUAGGUGCAGGAAGGGAUCACAUGCUGUCCUCAUGGAAACAUAGCUUGGGACAUUUGUAUCUGGCGAAUUAGGUGCCAGCAGACGCGGUGAAACUUAAGGAUUUGUUUUUUAGAAAAAGCAGAAAGCGUGUAAAGGUAAAAAAAGAUUUAAAAUAAAUAGAAUUUUUUUAGUAAUAGUGAAAUGUUAUUAUAAGGAAAAGAAUUCUUUAUGUGAAAAUAAUUUAUUUUUUUUUUCUUAAGCACGAAGGUUUUGGUAGUAAACAGGAUUAGAGACCCUGGUAAUCAAUACAGUAAAAAAAAUCGCUUGAGUAGUACGGUCGCAAGAUUAAAAUUCAAAAAAUUUGGCUGUUCAUGGUUAUUUAGAGGAGCGUGUCGUUUAAUUCGAUAAUCCGCGAAUUACCUUACCAAGACUUGGUUUUCCGGUGUUGCAUGGCCGUCGUCAAUUUAUGUUUGAUACAAUAAAUUAAAUCCUAGAAAGGUUGAAGUCAGGUAUUAUUGCCCUUAUGUUUUGGGAUUAGAUGCGCUACAUUUUUUUAAUAAAAAAAAAAGAGUUCGGAUUGUUUUUUAAAUAGAGCAAUUAAGUUGAAUUUAAUAGUAUUGAAAAGUAGAGCGUUUCAUGAAUUUAAACAUGUUAGUACAAUUGGCCGUCGCCUUUGCUGAGGUAAACAAGCAGAGUAAGUCGUACAUGGUGGGGGAAGGGACA